CUUAUUUUACUUGGAUAACUGUGGUAAUUCUAGAGCUAAUACAUGCAGCCAKGCUCCGACCUURYGGGAGGAGYGCAUUUAUUAGACCAAGACCAAUCAGGCYUCGGCCUGCUAAUCUGGUGACUCUGAAUAACUUUGCUGAUCACACGGUCCUCGCACCGGUGACAUAUCUUUCAAGUGUCUGCCCUAUCAACUGUCGAUGGUAGUUUAUGUGCCUACCAUGGUURUAACGGGUAACGGAGAAUAAGGGUUCGACUCCGGAGAGGGAGCCUGAGAAAURGCUACCACAUCCAAGGAAGGCAGCAGGCGCGCAAAUUACCCACUCUCAGCUCGAGGAGGUAGUGACGAAAAAUAACGAGACGGUUCUCUUUGAGGCCCGUCAUCGGAAUGGGUACAAUCUAAACCCUUUAAUGAGGAUCUAUUGGAGGGCAAGUCUGGUGCCAGCAGCCGCGGUAAUUCCAGCUCCAAUAGCAUAUACCAAUUCUGCUGCUGUUAAAAAGCUCGUAGUUGGAUCUUUCCCAAGGGYCCAGUCUGUCUGAUGGACUAGCACUGGGUCCCGAGGGUCUUACCUGGCUGGUUGUCCCAUGGUGCCCUUAAUUGAGUGCCUUGGGUAGCUAGCACGUUUACUUUGAAAAAAUUAGAGUGCUCAAAACAGGCUWAAUUGCCUGAAUAGUGGUGCAUGGAAUAAUGGAAUAGGACCUCGGUUCUAUUUUGUUGGUUUUAGGAGCGYGAGGUAAUGAUUAAGAGGGACAGACGGGGGCAUUCGUAUUGCRGYGUUAGAGGUGAAAUUCUUGGAUCRCYGCAAGACGAACAACUGCGAAAGCAUUUGCCAAGAAUGUUUUCAUUA
rnacentral:rRNA from 1 species